UCCUACGGGAGGCAGCAGUGAGGAAUAUUGCGCAAUGGGGGAAACCCUGACGCAGCGACGCCGCGUGGAUGAUGAAGGCCUUCGGGUCGUAAAAUCCUGUCAAGUGGAAAGAAGUGCAUAGUGGCUAAUAUCCAUUAUGUUUGACGGUACCACUGAAGGAAGCACCGGCUAACUCCGUGCCAGCAGCCGCGGUAAUA
rnacentral:rRNA from 1 species